rnacentral:rRNA from 1 species
GACGAACGCUGGCGGCGUGCUUUAUACAUGCAAGUCAAGGAGAACGUUUUCUUCGGAAAACUAUUAAACUGGCGAACGGGUGAGUAACGCGUAGGCAACCUGCCCUAGAGAUUGGGAUAACAUCGGGAAACCGGUGCUAAUACCGAAUAAUGCAGCGGAUCCUUUGGGAUACAGUUGUUAAAGCGGGCUUCGGCUCGCACUUUAGGAUGGGCCUGCGUCCGAUUAGCUUGUUGGUAAGGUAACGGCUUACCAAGGCAAUGAUCGGUAGCUGGUCUGAGAGGAUGAUCAGCCACACUGGGAUUGAGAUACGGCCCAGACUCCUACGGGAGGCAGCAGUAGGGAAUUUUGCGCAAUGGGGGAAACCCUGACGCAGCAACGCCGCGUGACCGAUGAAGCUUCUAGGAGCGUAAAGGUCUGUCGUAAGGGAAGAAAAGUUUGGAUGUAAAUAAUGUUCGAACCUGACGGUACCUUACAAGAAAGCACCGGCUAACUUCGUGCCAGCCGCCGCCGUAACAC